CAACGAGCGCAACCCCUAUUGUUAGUUGCCAUCAUUCAGUUGGGCACUCUAGCGAGACUGCCGGUAAUAAACCGGAGGAAGGUGGGGAUGACGUCAAAUCAUCAUGCCCCUUAUGACCUGGGCUACACACGUGCUACAAUGGUUGGUACAACGAGUUGCGAGUCGGUGACGGCGAGCUAAUCUCUUAAAGCCAAUCUCAGUUCGGAUUGUAGGCUGCAACUCGCCUACAUGAAGUCGGAAUCGCUAGUAAUCGCGGAUCAGCACGCCGCGGUGAAUACGUUCCCGGGCCUU
rnacentral:rRNA from 1 species